ensembl:lncRNA
UCUAAAAGUAAUUAAUUACUUGAAAAGUAACUAUUGCAUUACUUUAAAGAAAAUGUUUAACCCUCUGGGGUCCAGGGUAUAAUUGGCCAUUUUUAACUACUUUUGAUUUUCCCUCCACAUUUUACCUUUAAAGACUAUUUACUUUGCCUUGUUUGGUAUCAUUCUUUUCAGCACAACCUCACAUGUCUGAAUUUACAGUUAUGUUUUCAUUUUUACAUACUGUAUAACACAAUUGAUCUAAAAUCAGACAAAAAACAUUAAAUCUGAGUAGGUUAUUAUAUUUUUUACUGUAACAACCACAAACAUGUUUAUUGAAUCGUAUUUCAUAACUUUAAAUGCAAAUAUAAAUUGUCAAUUUUAAAAUUAUUUGCACAAGUUUUGCAAACAACAAAGUUAUUUGCAGCCAUUUAACUUUUACCCUUUUUUAAAUAACCAUUUCAAACUAUUUAUGGAACAAUCAGCUGUUCUGCAUCCAAUAAGAUGCUACACAAAUUAUUUGUGCCACUCCAAAAAAAAAAAAAAAAAAAAAAAAAAUUCUGUCCACUAUAAAGGAGAACUUCACAGCCUGAUACCUGCAGGUCUGACAGCAGCAGGUGUAUCACUCCUGUUCUCUACCUGGAGACAGCAGUCGCCCCAUUGUUCUGACACACAACACAAAGCUAUCCACAACACUACACACGAACCACACAAGACAACACAUUAACUACACACUCCAAACACGCGUCACAAAUCUCUCACAUCUCAAAACUCUCUCUCUCUUUCUGCUCUCUCUCUCUCUUUCGCCAUCACUCCUAAAACUCCCCCAUUUUCCUAGACAACCAAAUGUCAUUUUGCCAUCUCAUUUUUUGAUUGGUCGACAUGGUACAUUUUUCCACCAACACCAAAGGGCUGGGUUUUUUUAUUUUGUAUUGUUUUUUCAUUUUGGUCAUAGGCAGAGAGUGCUUCCUACCGCUGUCCUUAGACGUUAAUAGUGACGAAACUAUUGAGGAAAAAACACCCGUAUAUAUUGUUUAUCAUGACUCU